rnacentral:lncRNA from 1 species
GCUUUGUCUCUUGUCUUAUUUUCUGAACCCCUUUGCAAUUUGUCCCCAGGACCAUCCCCAGGACCAUGCAAGUUGAGGCAAAUUGGUGCCUGUACAGGAACCGAUCUGAAGAGCUGGGCCUACAUUCAGGAGGCCACACAAGGAGCAUCUGCUGUCACUUCGGACCUGUCAGGUGCCCCGAUCCAGACAGAUCCAGGAGCCAGGAACCCGGGCGCACAGCCUCUUCUCAAGCACUCGGCUUUGGUCCUUCGCUUCUUCCUUUAUGCCCGAAUGCAGGGACCCAGCUGGUCCCAUCUUUCCCCUCCCGAGCUCACUGCCUUUCUAGUCACCAUGAAGGUGGAGCAGGAGCCUGAUGACUCUCGGCUGCAACUACAGCCGAGAGUAAUUUUUCUUUUCAUAAGGUAGCGUUGUGAGUGAAUCAAACAGGGCUCUGGAGUCUGAAAGGUUGAAGUUUGAAAUCAAGAUCUACCACUAACUGUGACAACUUGGGCGGGGACUGAAUCUUUCUGAAUGUUUGGUUUCCUCUUCUGUGGAAUCAAAUAAUACUGUGUGUCUCCGUGCGCUGAAUAAAAAUGUAAAGGAGAUUUCAGUGUUGAGUCCCCAACAUCUGGGUGAGAGGGAAUAAUGUCAAUAUCUGCCCUCAUUGUAAAGGACCACCUACUCCCAGCCCAAAGUCUUCAUCUUGGCUCUGAAUUGCUCAUUAUUUAAUUUUUUCUGGGCAAAGCAUUACACAGUGACUCUUAUUAACCAAAAAGAAUGGGUGGGAGGGACACGGAAGCCGGCCUACUGGACAGCGCGAGCACCACGCCUGGUUGGAGACAUGGAAUAGGAGCUCCUGUGUCUGCAGCCACAGGAGCCUUGCCCGCCACACUGCAGCAGACCCCGUCCCCCCAGUGUGUCCAUACUAGGUGGCAACCAAAGGUCCCAGAAGAA